UUCCUGGUGGCUCAGACGGUAAAGAAUCUGCCUGCAAUGCAGGAGACCCAGGUUCGAUCCCUGGGUUGGGAA
rnacentral:tRNA from 1 species